UGACCUCAAAUCGGGUGAGACUACCCGCUGAACUUAAGCAUAUCAAUAAGCGGAGGAAAAGAAACUAACAAGGAUUCCCCUAGUAACUGCGAGUGAAGCGGGAAAAGCUCAAAUUUAAAAUCUGGCGGUCUUUGGCCGUCCGAGUUGUAAUUUAGAGAAGCGUCUUCCGCGCCGGACCGUGCACAAGUCUCCUGGAAUGGAGCGUCAUAGAGGGUGAGAAUCCCGUCUUUGGCACGGAUGCCCGGUGCUUCUGUGAUGCGCUCUCGAAGAGUCGAGUUGUUUGGGAAUGCAGCUCAAAAUGGGUGGUGAACUCCAUCUAAAGCUAAAUAUUGGCGAGAGACCGAUAGCGAACAAGUACCGUGAGGGAAAGAUGAAAAGCACUUUGGAAAGAGAGUGAAACAGUACGUGAAAUUGUUGAAAGGGAAACGCUUGAAGUCAGUCGCGUCGACCGAGACUCAGCCUUGCCUCGGCUUGGUGUACUUCUCGGCCCGACGGGUCAGCGUCAAUUUUGCCCCUCGGAUAAUGGCAAGGGAAAGGUGGCACCUUUGCGGGUGUGUUAUAGUCUCCUGUCGCAUGCGAGGGGUGGGAUUGAGGAACUCAGCGCGCACCUUGGUGUCGGGGCUUCUGCCCACGUCACGCGCUAGGA
rnacentral:rRNA from 1 species